UGCCGAGCAAUUCGCCUCAUGUUAUCCUUAAACUCAUCAAGUGGAACAUGAGCAGAAGGCGCCCCAGAUGGAGGGAGCAUUGAAUCGUUGCCACCAAAAUAGACAAUAACCAGUGAAGGUUGUACAGAAGCAUCCUUUGGGAAAACUUGAUGAAGAAUCUGUAGAGCAUUGCUUGAAUUCCAACCUCCAUAUCCUCUCAGCACAAUAUCUGCCUUACGAGCAUAGAUGUUAGCAAGAGCAGCACCCCAGCCUUGAUUGCCAUAACUGAACUGAACAAUGGAUGAUCCAAACAACACAAACUGUGGCCUAACUGGUCCUACCAUUCUGAUCUGAUCGAUC
rnacentral:misc_RNA from 1 species